AGAAUAGAACAUUGCAGCCAAUCACAGGCAUCAGCAGUCACAUGCAUCAAAUGUCAUCGAGGUACUUCCAAAGGGAACUCUGGAGCAGUAACAGUCCUGGACCAGGAGCAUGUGGAGAGCGAAUCAUCUCAGACGAAGUACGGAAGUAUGACACAGCUGUUACCUGCACGCUGAGGUCCUCGGCGCUCCUGUCUGUUCCCCCGUCUGACACCGCCACUCUGUUCGUCCAAUAAAGAAUACACUGAAGCUUCUACCUGGUGCACACAUGACUUCUUCACUGUGUUGGUACGUUGUUUGUGAAAUAAAAUAGAGACGACCUACCUGCUGCACUCGCCACAUCUUCUGUGGUCACAUUCUGAACGCUGGAGCCCACCUGGAACACCACAGCCGAU